ACGCGCGAGCGAGCACGCCAGGCAGAAGGAGCGGACGACAGAGAAGGGCCGGAGGUCACCGGAAGCCCAGGGCAUGCCGGGCUAGACCCGCGGCUGUGCCCGCCCCUAGCGAGCGUGUUGGGGAGAAUCACUUCCGGGGAAGAAGGCCGGGCCUGAGCCGGGUGUUCUGGGUGGCAUUUCCCUUGUGCCUGGCGCCUGCUUAGAAUCAUUUGGAAGGUCGUAGGUGACGGCUGACCACUCCUCCUUCUCCAGGGUGGACGGACCGGUGGCACUGUCGCCAGUGGAGCGAGGAGGGGUGCUGUACACAGCGAGAUUGGGGUGCGCAGGGAUCAGCGGAGGGACAGCUCUCAGGGGCGUUGUGAGUGGGCGGGAGUGCAGAAGAAAUAUAAAGGGAAUUGGCCGGCAGGAACGGUGGGGCCGGCCGCCCAGUCGGUUGGUAGGGACCCGUUAUGAGGUUGUGGCUACCUUGGUGCCUGUUAAAAACCUAUCACUGUGAGUCGGGCGGUGGUGGUGAACGCCUUUAAUCCCAGCACUCAGGAGGAAAAGGCAGGCGGAUCUCCGUGAGUCCGAGGCCAGCCUGCACAGAGUGAGUUCCAGGACAGGCUCCAAAGCUACAGAGAAACCCUGUCUCGAAAAAACAAACAAACAAACAAAAAAGACUAAAACUAUGAGAUGAAAAGAAAGUGUUUCUGUCCUGUUUGGGACAUAACGUGCUGCUGCAGUCCUGUUCCUGUACCUAUGCCUGGACCGUGAAAUCCCGCAGCAGCAGAUCCAGCCAGCAGUGACUGAAAGCCCUGAAACCAUGAGCCCAGGAAUGUUACGCAAUGCAAGUCAACGGCUUGACUGUUAGGAGUGGAGGAAGAGACCCUUCUCCCUAUGAUAUGUUCUUUCUCAUCUUGCACCUUCUAAGAGGAAGCACAGUUUGAGAUAGAGAUCUUAUGAGUGGGUUAGUAUACAUUGCAUUAGUCAUUUCUCCAUUGCUGUGGUAAAACACCAUUGCCAAGGCAACUUCCAGUUCUAGAAGGGUAGCGUUUAUGAUGGUGGAAUGAGGGCAUGGGGGUAGAUGGCUGGAGCAGCAGCUGAGAGAUCCCAUCUUGAUCCUUAGGAAGGAGGUGGAGAGCAUGUUGGGAAAGGUGAAAGUCUUUUGAAAGCUCAAAGCCUCCCACCACCUGCAGCUGGGUGACAUGCUUCCUAAUUCUUCCCAAACAGUUCCACCAACCAAGUAUUCAAACAUGUGAAUCUACGAGGGCUCAUUCUCAUUCUAACUACCACACACAAUUGUUACUUUCGUGUACCAACUUGGUUGGCCAUGAGUUACUCA